AUUGAACGCUGGCGGCAUGCCUUACACAUGCAAGUCGAACGGCAGCACGGGAGCAAUCCUGGUGGCGAGUGGCGAACGGGUGAGUAAAGUAUCGGAACGUGCCCAGUCGUGGGGGAUAACGUAGCGAAAGUUACGCUAAUACCGCAUACGAUCUAUGGAUGAAAGCGGGGGAUCGCAAGACCUCGCGCGAUUGGAGCGGCCGAUAUCAGAUUAGGUAGUUGGUGGGGUAAAGGCUCACCAAGCCGACGAUCUGUAGCUGGUCUGAGAGGACGACCAGCCACACUGGGACUGAGACACGGUCCAGACUCCUACGGGAGGCAGCAGUGGGGAAUAUUGCACAAUGGGCGCAAGCCUGAUGCAGCCAUGCCGCGUGUAUGAAGAAGGCCUUCGGGUUGUAAAGUACUUUCAGCGGGGAGGAAGGCGGUGAAGUUAAUAGCUUCACCGAUUGACGUUACCCGCAGAAGAAGCACCGGCUAACUCCGUGCCAGCAGCCGCAGUAA
rnacentral:rRNA from 1 species